ACAAAAGGGAGCUCGCGUCAAUAGAUAGAUUUAAUUCACCAAAGUUUCAUGCAAAUUGGGUAAAGCGUUUUUGAGUUAUUGUCCGACAUGUUGACGACAGAAGGACAGAGGGAUUGACAGAAGGACAACAGUUUACCAUAAUAGGUCCCAUAAACAGACGAUUAUAAAAAGAGGCUACCAGGAAGCCAAAAAAGGCUAUGUCUGAGGAAGCCUAUAAAAAAACUAUAAUAAUGAGAAUGCCUGGUAUAAGGCUAUGAG
rnacentral:lncRNA from 1 species